ACCUACUUAAACUGAGUUUACAAAAUCGCAGAACUGUGAAUCGCAGAACAAGGAAAACACAAAAUCAGAACUGAGAACUCAUAACAAGAAAAACACAAUCGAUUGAAGAACAACACUUGCUAACCUGGUUUGCUUCGAAUUUUCUUGGAAAUCAUGAAUGAACGUGAGAAAGUAUGGUUUUGAAAAUCUUCGCAGAACACAAUCGAUCGAUUGGAGAAUUAUGGUUUUGGAAGAAGGGUUUUGGG
rnacentral:lncRNA from 1 species